rnacentral:lncRNA from 1 species
AAGGUUCCCGGUGCGUUUGGAAGGCAGAGGCUCCUGGGCUUGCAGGUUUGGGAAAAUUAUCCAGAACUUGGAAAGGGGUAAAAACAUCACUGCCUGCUCUUUGGAUCCUGGACCCUCGGCACGGUGGGCCUCAGAGCUGAUCAUUCCCUGGGGUGGGGCCGUCCUGGGCACUGCUGGGUGCUGAGCAGUGUCCCUGGCCUCCGCCCACUCCACACCAGGAGCUCCCCUAGUCGUGACAACCACAGAAGCCCCAGACGUUGCCCCGUGUCCCCGAGGGGCCGAAUCACCCAGAGGAUC